AAUUCGAUGCAACGCGAAGAACCUUACCAAGGCUUGACAUGAACCGGAAAGGCGUAGAAAUACGUCCCCCACUUGUGGUCGGUUUACAGGUGGUGCAUGGUUGUCGUCAGCUCGUGUCGUGAGAUGUUGGGUUAAGUCCCGCAACGAGCGCAACCCUCGUUCUAUGUUGCCAGCACGUGAUGGUGGGGACUCAUAGGAGACUGCCGGGGUCAACUCGGAGGAAGGUGGGGAUGACGUCAAAUCAUCAUGCCCCUUAUGUCUUGGGCUUCACGCAUGCUACAAUGGCCGGUACAAAGGGUUGCGAUACUGUGAGGUGGAGCUAAUCCCAAAAAGCCGGUCUCAGUUCGGAUUGGGGUCUGCAACUCGACCCCAUGAAGUCGGAGUCGCUAGUAAUCGCAGAUCAGCAACGCUGCGGUGGAUACGUUCCCGGGCCUUGUACACACCGCCCGUCAAGUCACGAAAGUUGGUAACACCCGAAGCCGGUGGCCUAACCC
rnacentral:rRNA from 1 species